UUAAUUUAAGUAUAUUACGUUAAUUUUUGAUAUUAAAAAAACUAAUUAAUUUUAGUAAAUUAAA
rnacentral:tRNA from 1 species